AGAAAUGGUAGUAUGGCCAGUUCCUGCAUUGUGUGGGAAUACAACGGCUAAAGACGGUUAGUGGAGUGAACUCUAGCAUGUAACUCAGGGAUAAAGAUAAAAUAAUGCCAUCAUUCAAAACUAUAUCAAAUAACCAAUAUGAAAUCACAUAUAUACAUGCAUAUAUAUCAUGUCGGGAAAGGGAACAAGGUUUAGUAUGCAUUUAAAUCCUUAACCUGGAUUGUGUAGCUCUG
rnacentral:lncRNA from 1 species